GAUGAAGAACGUAGCGAAAUGCGAUAAGUAAUGUGAAUUGCAGAAUUCAGUGAAUCAUCGAAUCUUUGAACGCACAUUGCGCCCCUUGGUAUUCCGGGGGGCAUGCCUGUUCGAGCGUCAUUACAACCCUCAAGCUCUGCUUGGUCUUGGGCGUCACCGGUCCCCGGUGUGCCUUAAAAUCAGUGGCGGCGCCAUCUGGCUCUAAGCGUAGUACAUACUCUCGCUACAGACGUCCGGUGGAUGCUGGCCAGCAAACCCCAAUUUAUCAAGGUUGACCUCGGAUCAGGUAGGGAUACCCGCUGAACUUAAGCAUAUCAAUAAGCGGAGGA
rnacentral:misc_RNA from 1 species